rnacentral:rRNA from 1 species
CGUGCUUACACAUGCAAGUCGAACGAUGAACCUCACUUGUGGGGGGAUUAGUGGCGAACGGGUGAGUAACACGUGAGUAACCUGCCCUUGACUCUGGGAUAAGCCUGGGAAACCGGGUCUAAUACUGGAUACGACCUUCUGGCGCAUGCCAUGUUGGUGGAAAGCUUUUGUGGUUUUGGAUGGACUCGCGGCCUAUCAGCUUGUUGGUGGGGUAAUGGCCUACCAAGGCGACGACGGGUAGCCGGCCUGAGAGGGUGACCGGCCACACUGGGACUGAGACACGGCCCAGACUCCUACGGGAGGCAGCAGUGGGGAAUAUUGCACAAUGGGCGCAAGCCUGAUGCAGCGACGCCGCGUGAGGGAUGAAGGCCUUCGGGUUGUAAACCUCUUUCAGUAGGGAAGAAGCCGGCCUUUUGGGUUGGUGACGGUACCUGCAGAAGAAGCGCCGGCUAACUACGUGCCAGC